UAAUAGUCAUAAAUUGCGAAAUCCAAAGUUUAUUACAACACUAUAAAAAAAGAGGGCUCCUAUUCUUAUUGUUUCCCACCACCAACUCUGGAACUGAAGAAUAUCCUAUAUAUAGCCGCCAGCCUCAUCGGUAAUCCCUGGCGAGAAAAGAAAAAAAUCAUCAACAAAAAAUGUCAAAAUCAUCAGCUUUAUCAACAAAUCAACAAGAUGGUGGAGACCUCCGGUCACCGCUCAUCCCGCCGGCGGCGGAUGGAUAUUCAAAACCGAAGAAAGUAACGAUGGAUCAAAUGUUGGAAAAAUACUGCGGCGAGUUUGGGUGGUGGCAAUUGAGACAUUUCGUGCUAACGAGCUUGGCUUGGGCGCUGGAAGGGAUUCACACCAUGGUCAUGAUUUUUUCGGAUCGUGAACCCGGGUGGCGGUGUUCGACGAGCCGCGGGUGCGGUUCAACGGCUAAAAGUGUGUGCGACCUUGAGCCAGGGUCUUGGGAAUGGUUCGGUGGAAUUGGAAGUUCUACGGUAUCGGAGUUUGGAUUGAUAUGUGGACAGAAAUACAGAGUUGGUCUUGUCCAAGCCUUAUUUUUCGCUGGCUGCAUGAUCGGUAUGUUCCUUAUUAUCCCUUUUUCUUUUCCUAUUUUUUCUGAAUUAAGAAGAAAUAUAGAAAUUAGUGUCUUCAAUUAUUUUGAAUGGAGGAGGAUAAACAUAAAUGCUUUUCCUUGUGACCUUUUACGCUUAAAACAACAUAACACCAUCUGUCCAUCUUUAGAAACUUUAGCUCACGAGUCAUGAGGUACAUUUGUCAAUAGGUGUAGAAGUCAUUAGCUGAGUAUUUUAUGGAUGGAAUGGUUUAUGUAAAGUUGCGUCCUAAGUAGUAGCAAUAGUAUAUCAUGAGUUUCAACUAAAUUGGGGUCUUCAAUUCCGAGGAGCUGCAAUAUUCUGAAAUUGCAUUGAUAGUUGGUGAAAAAACACGUAUUAAUACCUUAUUCUUAUUCUGCGGGUGGACAGUUAACUUAUAUAUUAAAUACUAGUUUAUAAACAUUUAUAGUGAUAUUUUUUUUAUACAAUUAGAUUAUUUGAUAAGUAGGAGUACAAUAUAUUAAAAAGUUGUUCAUAUAAAUGAAAUUAAAAAUAAUACAAGUAAAUAACACAAGUAUUUGCCACGAUAAGUUAAAUCUAUUUUACAUUAUCCGUAAGUAAAAGUUUAAACGGGGAUGGAAAACAUAUGUCGUUCAACUUGUGGACAAUGUUUCUCGGUAUAUGCUUUUUCAAUGUAUUAUCCGGGCGUAGCCACUUUAUAUAUAAUCUUUAGAGAACUAGUGCGCGUGCAGCUUUCACAGAGAUGACCUUUUUUUUCUCGGCUGAAACAUCCCUAUUCACCACAAGUAUCUCUAUCCUGACAAUUUUGUUGUUUCUUUUAUCAGUUCGUACAAAGUUGACAACACCACAUCCUUCUUCUUUGCUUUUUGUUCUUUUCUUUUUUAAUCAUAAAAAAUAUAAGUAGGAAAAGAUUGCGUCCAAAUUUGGUUGAUCACGAAUUGUUAAUGAUUAACAUCAAGUAUGUCGAGCUUAAUUGAAUGGGACACAAGCGACGAAGAUAGACGACAUAUAGGGGUGUCAAUGGUUCGGUUCGGCCGGUUAUUUUAUAAAAUUUGUACCAUACCAAUUUUUCGGUUAUUCUAUGAUGUAUAACCAAAAUUAGACUUUCAGAAACCGUACCAAUCACGUCGGUUUCUCUUCGGUAUCGGUACGGUUCGGUUAAUUUUCGGUAUUUUUUUAGAUGUCAUUUAAAAGUCACUAGUAGAAGCAGAAUGCAAUAACAUACAUACUUUUAUAGGAUUUAGUAAAACUUUCUAGAAAUUUUUACUAUUUAAAGGGUGAUGAAUCAAGAAAACAUGAAAGAUGGUCAGAGUAUAGACCCAUCAACUAUUCUAUAGCAGCGUAAAAAAUAAUUAAACAAAGACAAAGAAAAUAUAAAUCACACAAGUGAAAAAAUAUUAAGCAAGAUGAGACUCAAGAAUAAAGUCUAUAGAAGAUUAAAUAUUCGAAAAUAUAAAUUUAAUUCUACGAAAGGAAACAUAUUCAAUACAUUAUAGUUUGCUACUCAUAAUCGCUAGAAUAUCUUAUGUCUUGCUAGUGAAUAUGCUGUAAAUAAUUUAGUUUCAGUAGGAGUUGUAUAAUAAGUUUGAAAAUUAGGAUUUUAAGUUUAAUUACUUGCUGGCUUGUAACCGUUUCAUAAUUCCAAGGCUCAAGGAAAAAUUUAUACUUUCUUAUUUUAAAUUUAAUAUAUAAAUAUAUUUUUUCAUGUAAAUUUAUUCGGUAUGGUUCGAUAUUUUUUCGAUGUAUUUUCAUAAAAUAAUAAAUCUAUCAUAAUUAUCGGUACGGUUAUAGAUUUAUAUAAAAACCUACGAUUUUAUUAAAAGAAACCUAAAAAUCAAUUCGGUGCGUUACGAUUCAGUCGAUUUAAUCGAUUUUUAAAUAUCAAUUGACACUCCUAACGUCACCUCAGACCAAAAAGUAGAAUAAUAGAAAGAACGUCAGGGAAUACCGUUGAACCAAACCCGUAUUUCGGGGCAAAUUAAGAAAAUGAAAUCGGGGAUAGAAUUAAGUCUUGAAUAUUUGAUUAAAUUUUAGUCUCUCAUCUUAAUAAGAAGCAAAUUUCUCAACAGAUUUUUUGUCUCACUUCGAUUACUCUUUGGACCUUGAUGUCCAAUUCCCUGCUAAACCUCCUUAUGACUUAGUUCUUAAUUGCUUCAUAACUCUAUAGGAGUCUCUUAUAUGUAUUAGUCUUAUUUGUUUUCCGGGUUUAUGCCACCUUUUAAAUCUUAUCCAAAGAAAAGGAAGAUACUAAUGAGAAUAGAAUAUACUUUUACUCCUGUAUUAGAAAAACCCCAUUCUUACUUUCCACACACCCGCCUAAAUUGAAAGUUGAGAAUAUGCUACCCCGAUUCGGAUAUUCUAGUCUCCCUUGUGUGCUAUUGGAAAUUGGAACAGGCUGCUUUAUUUUCGAUAACUCACCUAAAAUAAAAACAAUAAAAAGAAGGCGAACAAAGGGAAAGGUGUAUAUAGUGUUUAAUAUAUUAGGGGUACUAAGUAGGAUAUGGACCAGAUAGGUUAAUAUUGUCUAGUUUCUCUUGGCCAGGAUCUUGCAAUAAUUGGAAUACGGAGUACGAGCAAAUGUUGUUAUACUGGGACCCAGAGCACCCUUAUCAUAAGGAGGAUCUACUUCUUUUGACAUUUAUAUUAAGCUUAUUUGUCACUUCGUAUGACACGUUGUUUAUUUUUCCAUGCAUAUGACACGUGUUAGAUCAACGUCUCACCACUGAAAGAAUAUUGUAGUAUGAUGCAGCACCGAAUACCAUAUUUCUUCAAAAGUAUUACUCGUGCUACUCCUUAUAAUAGGGUUUUUCAGUUCUUAAGAACAUUACCUAAUUAAGAAGUUUAUGCUACCCAUGUUCGCCAAAAGAAAUUAAUCUUUAUAUGCUAUUUUAUGUCACCUUUUUUAAACAAAAUUACUUUAUUACUCCCUUGUUUCAAUUUAAAUGAUAUAUUUUGAGUCAAUUUAAUUAAAUUUUGAAGUUAAAUUAUAUUAGUUCAACUCAAUAUUUUAAAAUUAAAAUUUAGAUAUGCAAAAACUAUACGAAAAGUACUACAAUAUUAGUUGCAAUUUCUCUCAUGAAGAUAUGAUAAAAAAAUAUUUUUAAAAUAUUGGUCAAACUUCACAAAGUUUAAUUCUCAAUAAGCGAAAUAUUUCAUAUAAAUUGAAAUAGAAGAUUAUAUAUUCAUAUAAUUUAAUAGAAAUAUUAUCGCGUGAUUAUCUCUCAAGUUUGGAAUUAUUUUUGGCAUGUGCUAAAAUACUAAUUUUCUUAUUCAGUCAUACAAAGGAAUCGGAAGGGUUUAAGAUCUCAAGUUUGGAUUUAUUUUUGGCAUAAUCUAAAAUCCUAAUGUUCUUAUUCGGUCAAACAAAUAACGGAAGGGUAACUCCCUUUGAUUUGAAAAAUUAACUUCUCUAUUUAAGAUCUUUCAAUGUGGCACAAUACAGAAUGUAGAUUGGUAAAUACUUUGCUGUGUUUACAGUUACUGCUCAGAGCUCCGAGUUUGAAAAUUUUAAUGGGAAAACGAACAAGAUAUUCUCACUUUGUCGUGGAGAUGGUGGUGGUACUUGAUAUGACAAAAUUUAAGAUGUCAGAAUUUUUGAAUAACACUUUUAAAUUAAUUGUUUUCAGGUGCUGGAGUAUUUGGACAUCUCUCAGACUCCAAAUUAGGAAGGAAAGGCUCCCUCACAAUUGUUUGCAUCUUAAACGCCAUCUUUGGUUGUAUAACAGCAUUCUCUUCGGACUACUGGACCUAUACCUUAUUCCGUUUUCUUUCCGGUUUCAGCACCGGCGGCACUGGCCUUUGUUCUUUUGUUCUUGCCACUGAACCCGUUGGCCAGUCCUGGCGCGGCGUAGCAGGAAUGUCCACGUUCUAUUUUUUCUCUACUGGGAUAGCCGCUCUCUCUGCCAUUGCUUAUUUCUUCCAGUCGUGGCGCUCUCUUUACAUUGCUUCUUCAGUCCCAUCUGUUCUGUUCGUUAUCCUCGUACUUCCUUUCCUCCACGAGUCACCUCGCUGGUGCCUCGUUAGAGGAAAGGUAGAUGAAGCCAUGAAGAUCAUGCAUAAAAUCGCCAUAUCAAAUGGAAAACACCUUCCUGAUGGAGUUCUUCUUGCACUCGACAGUGAAGUGAAUAAUGAUGAUGCUCCUCAUUCUCAAUCCGAAUCAAAGCUGGAACCCGAUACCAAAGAAGCGUUAAACGGAUCCCUUUUAGAUGUACUAAGGUUUCCUCUAACGCGAUUUCGGUUGUUCUUAGCUGUGGCUAUUAACUUCUUCUGUUCCGUUGUCUAUUACGGGUUGAGUUUGAAUGCUGUCAACCUUGGAACCAAUCUCUACCUGAACGUUGCUCUUAACGCAGUGGCUGAAAUGCCUGCCUAUCUUAUAACCGCAUUAGUUUUGGACAGGCUCGGUAGAAAGCCAUUAGCAAUAUGGACAAUGUGGUUCAGUGGAGCUUUUUGCUUGGCAGGAAGCUUGAUGAAAGGUUACGGAGCGUGGAAAAUUGUUCGAAUGGUUUGUGGAGUUUUAGGUAUAUUUGGUAUGGCUGGGAGUUACAAUUUGUUGUUCGUGUAUUCGAUGGAGUUGUUUCCAACUGUGGUGAGAAAUGCAGCAUUAGGAUGUGCAACUCAGGCGUCGCAAAUGGGGGCAAUUUUGGCACCCCUUGUGGUUGUUUUAGGGGGUGGCAUACCAUUUGCAGUGUUUGGAGCAUGUGGAAUAGCUGGAGGGUUACUGGUAAUGUACUUGCCUGAAACCUUAAACAGACCAUUAUAUGACACAAUGGCUGGAAUGGAAGAAGCUGAAGCAGAGAAACCAUGUAUUCUAGCUUAAUUUGCAGGUUUUAGAGAACUUUCUUCUUCUUCAUUUUUUGUUUCAAAUUUUGUUUUUAGUUUGUGAAUGUUUGUACUUUAUUUUGAGAAACCUCUUUUUGGAUUAUACUUAGAGACUUACUAAUAGUAUUAUUCAUCUUACAUUAGGUAUUCGUAAUAAUGCUAGUUCGAAAUUGUGCGGUAUGGCGUUGAAAGUGAUUAUUCUUUGUCCCAAAGAGAAGACGUUCUUCCUCUUAAAAAAGUUAGUACAUCCUUUUUAAUGAAAAACACAAGAAGAUAAAUGAACUUCUCCCAACAUCUAGUUUACUUUUAAAUAUAGACUACCACUUCGUCAAAUUAUUAAACUAACAAGCAUGAUUUUCACUAUGCUAUGCCAUGUUUAACGUAUUUGAGAUGUACUUUGAACAAUUGAUCGCUUUUUUAUUUUCUUAAUAAUGAUGUUACCCAGAUGCAUAUCUAGGUGGUGUUGUAUUAGUAAAAACGAACAGAGGCCUUACCUCAAAUUACAACAUAAAUUGGUGAUACCACCACCCAAAAGACCAGAAAGAAGAACAAAAACUUACAACUCCUUCUGGGACUAAGCAACAACAACGAGUAAAAUCCUACAAAUGGGGUCUGGGGAGGGUAGUGUGUACCUUACCCCUAUAUCUCGAGGGAGUAUAGAGGCUGUUUCCGAUAGAUUGGCUCAAGAAGACGAAAAGAGACAAUAUAUCAGUACCAUCAACAUAAACCACAGAAAUAAUAGCAGCAUCACAAGAAUCAGGAAAUAUAUCAGUACCGUUAAGUAAUGACCUAUUUCACCUAACACACCCACACAUACAGAAGAAAAAUAAAAGCAGCAAAUUGUAAACCUCAUUAGGUGAUUACCUCUUCUUUAGGCCGGCAACAAAGGAUAACUAUAUUAUGAUUGAAUACAUGUUUGGCAGCAUCGAUUUGGAAAGUUUCGAUAGGAGUAGCUAGAGUGAGAUAUAAGACUUCCACAGU
rnacentral:lncRNA from 1 species